AGUCGCGGUUAAACCUGAGUAGCCCGAGCCAAGUGGGACAGUGUAAAAGGUGGUUAGACGGCCUAUCUUAAAAUUAUUUAAGUAACAAUAAUUAAUUUGGAAAAAAGAAGGACGACCUGAAAGAGUAGGGGUGUAAUCUUAUGUAUUUUUUGAGGGAAGGGGAGCAUCUUUCUUUAGGCUGAGUCCACGGAACCGGUUAACUGAAGACAUGGAUUAGAUACCCAUUUAUUGCCGAUGCAAACUUUGCUUUUAGUGCAGCUGCUUGGGUACUACGAGCGAGUGCUUAAAACUCAAAGAACUUGGCGGCUUGUUAACUACCUAGGGGAAUAUGCGCCUUAAUCCGAUGAUCCCCGUUAUAUCUUACUGAGUCUUGAAAAAGUGCAGCUGGUGUAUUGCCGUUGUCAGCUUGUUGUUCGAGCAGAGAGAAACAGGCUUAAUGGUUUUUAUUUGAUAAGUUUCAUAAAAAUCCAUGAAUUCAGGUCGUAAUACUGCCUAUGGCUCAAGGGAGCGGGUGUUACAAUUUAUACUUAGAAUUACGGAUCUUUAUUGUGGAAUCUUAAAGUGAAGGUGAACUUAGGAGUAAGGGGAGAUUAAUAUGCUUUCCUGAACAUGAAUCUAACUCGUGUACAAACUGCCCGUCGCUCUCGGUGAGAACUGAGAUAAGUCGUAACAAGG
rnacentral:rRNA from 1 species